AUGACUUCGGUGCACCGCGUAUCUAAAGUUGGUAACCUUCAAACCUAUUGUGUUCAGAGAGAACCAAUGCAUAUCUCGUUAGUGUUCAAGUAUGGCGCUACGACACAUGACAUGUGGUGGGCGCAGCGGGGUACAGGGCAUGCGCCAAGCUGGCCAAGGUGCCAAGGUCUACAAGUCUGGCUCCGACGGUGCGACGCUGGCAUGCGGCACAAACUGCUUCAUCUUUUUUUUUUGAGGGGAACAAACUACUUCAUCUACAACAUCCCCGUACACUGCCAGUCCGGCAUGAAGACCGCCGUCACUGCCGCCUAG
rnacentral:rRNA from 1 species